CGUGCCUAAUACAUGCAAGUCGAGCGCAGGAAGCCGUCUGAACCCUUCGGGGGGACGACGGUGGAAUGAGCGGCGGACGGGUGAGUAACACGUAAAGAACCUGCCCAUAGGUCUGGGAUAACCACGAGAAAUCGGGGCUAAUACCGGAUGUGUCAUCGGACCGCAUGGUCCGCUGAUGAAAGGCGCUCCGGCGUCGCCCAUGGAUGGCUUUGCGGUGCAUUAGCUAGUUGGUGGGGUAACGGCCCACCAAGGCGACGAUGCAUAGCCGACCUGAGAGGGUGAUCGGCCACACUGGGACUGAGACACGGCCCAGACUCCUACGGGAGGCAGCAGUAGGGAAUCUUCCACAAUGGACGAAAGUCUGAUGGAGCAACGCCGCGUGAACGAUGAAGGCUUUCGGGUCGUAAAGUUCUGUUGUAAGGGAAGAACAAGUGCCGCAGGCAAUGGCGGCACCUUGACGGUACCUUGCGAGAAAGCCACGGCUAACUACGUGCCAGCAGCCGCGGUAAUACGUAGGUGGCAAGCGUUGUCCGGAAUUAUUGGGCGUAAAGCGCGCGCAGGCGGCCUCUUAAGUCUGAUGUGAAAGCCCCCGGCUCAACCGGGGAGGGCCAUUGGAAACUGGGAGGCUUGAGUAUAGGAGAGAAGAGUGGAAUUCCACGUGUAGCGGUGAAAUGCGUAGAGAUGUGGAGGAACACCAGUGGCGAAGGCGACUCUUUGGCCUAU
rnacentral:rRNA from 1 species